CUCCGCAUCCUACGGGAGGCAGCAGUGGGGAAUAUUGCACAAUGGGCGCAAGCCUGAUGCAGCCAUGCCGCGUGUAUGAAGAAGGCCUUCGGGUUGUAAAGUACUUUCAGCAGUGAGGAAGGUGGAUAUGUUAAUAGCAUAUUCAUUUGACGUUAGCUGCAGAAGAAGCACCGGCUAACUCCGUGCCAGCAGCCGCGGUAAUACGGAGGGUGCGAGCGUUAAUCGGAAUUACUGGGCGUAAAGCGCAUGCAGGUGGUUUGUUAAGUCAGAUGUGAAAGCCCGGGGCUCAACCUCGGAAUUGCAUUUGAAACUGGCAAACUAGAGUACUGUAGAGGGGGUAGAAUUUCAGGUGUAGCGGUGAAAUGCGUAGAGAUCUGAAGGAAUACCGGUGGCGAAGGCGGCCCCCUGGACAGAUACUGACACUCAGAUGCGAAAGCGUGGGGAGCAAACAGGAUUAGAUACCCUGGUAG
rnacentral:rRNA from 1 species